UACGAAGGGGCUAGCGUUGCUCGGAAUUACUGGGCGAAAGGGCGCGUAGGCGGUUCUAUAAGUCAGGCGUGAAAUUCCUGGGCUUAACCUGGGGGCUGCGCUUGAGACUGUGGGACUUGAGGUCAGAAGAGGGUCGUGGAAUUCCCAGUGUAGAGGUGAAAUUCGUAGAUAUUGGGAAGAACACCGGUGGCGAAGGCGGCGACCUGGUCUGAUACUGACGCUGAGGCGCGACAGCGUGGGGAGCAAACAGGGAUAGAAACC
rnacentral:rRNA from 1 species